rnacentral:rRNA from 1 species
GAUCCUGGCUCAGAAUCAACGCUGGCGGCGUGCCUAACACAUGCAAGUCGAACGCGAAAGUGGAGCAAUCCAUGAGUAGAGUGGCAAACGGGUGAGUAACGCGUGGGCGACCUACCUCAGAGUGGGGGAUAACCUUCCGAAAGGAGAGCUAAUACCGCAUGACAUACCGUGUUUGGAUACACGGAUACCAAAGCCGGGGAUCGCAAGACCUGGCGCUUGGAGAGGGGCCCGCGUCCGAUUAGCUAGUUGGUGAGGUAACGGCUCACCAAGGCUCCGAUCGGUAUCCGGCCUGAGAGGGCGGACGGACACACUGGAACUGAGACACGGUCCAGACUCCUACGGGAGGCAGCAGUGGGGAAUUGUUCACAAUGGGCGCAAGCCUGAUGACGCAACGCCGCGUGGAGGAUGAAGACUUUCGGGUCGUAAACUCCUUUCGACCGAGAUGAAUUUCCGUCGACCUAAUACGUUGACGGAGUGACAGUAUCGAGGGAAGAAGCCCCGGCUAACUCCGUGCCAGCAGCCGCGGUAAUACGGGGGGGGCAAGCGUUGCUCGGAAUUACUGGGCGUAAAGGGUUCGUAGGUGGCUUGCUAAGUCAGACGUGAAAUCCCUCAGCUUAACUGGGGAACUGCGUCUGAUACUGGCGAGCUUGAGUGCAGGAGAGGAACGCAGAAUUCCAGGUGUAGCGGUGAAAUGCGUAGAUAUCUGGAGGAAUACCGGUGGCGAAGGCGGCGUUCUGGACUGCAACUGACACUGAUGAACGAAAGCCAGGGGAGCAAACGGGAUUAGAUACCCCGGUAGUCCUGGCCCUAAACGAUGAAUGCUUGGUGUGGCGGGUAUCGAUCCCUGCCGUGCCGAAGUUAACGCGUUAAGCAUUCCGCCUGGGGAGUACGGUCGCAAGGCUGAAACUCAAAGGAAUUGACGGGGGCCCGCACAAGCGGUGGGCAUGUGGUUCAAUUCGACGCAACGCGAAGAACCUUACCUGGGCUCGAAAUGCAGAUGACCAUCGGCGAAAGCCGACUUUCGCAAGAACAUCUGUAUAGGUGCUGCAUGGCUGUCGUCAGCUCGUGUCGUGAGAUGUUGGGUUAAGUCCCGCAACGAGCGCAACCCUUGUCUUCUGUUGCCAUCAGGUUAAGCUGGGCACUCUGAAGAGACUGCCGGUGACAAACCGGAGGAAGGUGGGGAUGACGUCAAGUCAGCAUGGCCUUUAUGUCUGGGGCCACACACGUGCUACAAUGGCAGGUACAAACCGUCGCGAGACCGCAAGGUGGAGCUAAUCGGAUAAAGCCUGUCUCAGUUCGGAUUGUCGGCUGCAACUCGCCGGCAUGAAGUUGGAAUCGCUAGUAAUCGCGGAUCAGCACGCCGCGGUGAAUACGUUCCCGGGCCUUGUACACACCGCCCGUCACAUCACGAAAGCUGGCUGUACUAGAAGUAGCAGCGCUAACCCGCAAGGGAGGCAUGUUCCUAAGGUAUGGUCAGUGAUUGGGGUGAAGUCGUAACAAGGUAACC